AACGCACCUUGCGCCUCUUGGUAUUCCGAGAGGCAUGCCCUGUUUGAGUGUCUUAUAAAAUCAAUCCCCACGGGUUUUCGGACCGGUUGGUGACUUGGAGUUGGGUGUCUGCCGGUCACACGGCUCGCCUUAAAGACGUUAGUGGGACAGGAUGCCUACGGCUUGACGUAAUAAGUUUCGUCAGACCCGGUGCCCUACGCUCGCUCAUAACCCUUUGCCCUCGGGCAGCUACUUUAUGCUAGACCUCAAAUCAGGUAGGACUACCCGCUGAACUUAA
rnacentral:misc_RNA from 1 species